rnacentral:tRNA from 1 species
UGUUCUGUAGCUUAGUUGGUUAAAUCGCCGGACUAGCGAUAACGGAGUCGUGGGUUCGAAUCCCACCAAAACAA